rnacentral:rRNA from 1 species
AUGUAUCCAACCUCGCUGCUCCACAUCUUGAUUUCGCUGUUCCUACUCCAUCAACGCACGCAUGCCGAGUGUGAGCCAGUGACAUGCGGGGAACUCCCCAUCAAGUACCCAUUCUGGCUCGGCGGCCAGAGCCAUCCGUCGAAUUCCUCCUGCGGCCACCCGGCCUUCGAGUUACGGUGCGCCGGCAACAGCACCGUGGCUUCCUUGAGGGGCUCUGGCAUCCACGUCCACGACAUCGACUACGACACCAGGUCCUUCCUCGUGUCCCACGACAGAGUCACCCACGGCACCGACGCCGUGUGCUGCAUCGACUUCAACAUGUCGACCAUCCUACCUCUUGCCCCGUUUGAGAUCAGCCCCACCAACCGGGCCCUGUGCUUCCUCUACGACUGCAACGGGACAGAGCCGUGUGGGCGCGACUAUGUGAACGCCACCGGCGUGCCCAGCUGCCCUUGGCCCAUCUCCGUGUACCUCGGCGGCAGCUACGACCGGAACAUGCCGCCCGCAAUACCCACCGGAAACUGCAUGUACGCUUACCACCCGGUGCUUGGAUCGGAGGCAGCUAUCUUGACGGCGGCAAACUACAGUCGACUCCUGAAGAGCGGGUUCGUCCUAGAUUGGGCAGGCACCGGCGCUGGGGACUGCUCUUCCUGCAGUGCGAGUGGCGGGCAGUGUCGAUAUAAUAACGAGUCUGCCGCCUUCGCGUGCCUCUGCUCUGUUGGCAAAAUGCACGAGUCGACAUGCGCUGAGGAAAUAACAUCUUCUUUCAUCUCAGGUUUGACAUCAGCUGCUGCAACCUUGCUCUUUACAUGUCUUUAUGUGCUGAUAUGGCAUAGAAAGGGGAAAAGACUAAGGUUCAUUUGCAAGAAAACUAGCAGUAACACUGAAAAGAAUUAUGAGGCCAUGAUAGUAUCCCAUGGACCCCUAGCUCCAACAAGAUACAAGUACUCAGAGGUAAUGAAGAUAACAUCUUCUUGCAACAAUCAGCUGGGAGAAGGUGGUUAUGGUGUGGUUUUUAAAGGAAGACUGCAUGAUGGCCGUCUGGUUGCUGUAAAAUUCUUGCAUGGCUGCAAAGAAAAUGGGGACGAGUUUGUGAAUGAGGUUAUGAGCAUUGGAAGAACCUCUCAUGUUAAUGUUGUUAGCUUAUUUGGGUUUUCUUUAGAGGGAUCAAAACGAGCUCUAAUAUAUGAGUACAUGCCCAACAGUUCCUUGGAUAAAUACAUUUACUCAGAGAACGCCAAGGAAAUUUUAGGAUGGGAGAGGCUCUAUGGGAUAGCAAUCGGGAUUGCUCGAGGCCUUGAUUACUUGCAUCAUAGCUGCAACACACGCAUCAUCCAUUUCGAUAUCAAGCCUCAGAAUAUCCUUCUAGAUAAAGAUUUUAGCCCAAAGAUUGCUGAUUUUGGUCUAGCUAAAUUGUGUCAUACAAAGGAGAGCAAGCUUUCAAUGACGGGAGCUAGAGGAACAAUUGGAUUCAUUGCCCCAGAAGUUUACUCUCGAACCUUCGGGGUGGUUUCAACUAAGUCUGAUGUUUAUAGUUAUGGGAUGAUGCUGCUAGAGAUGGUUGGAGGUAGGAGAAAUGUAAAAUCAAUUGUUACAAAUUCUAGUGAAAAAUAUUUUCCAGAUUGGAUUUACGACCACUUUGAUCAAGAAGAUGGAUUACAAGCAUGUAAAGUCACGACUGGAAUUGAGGAAAUGGCGAAAAAGAUGACCUUAAUCGGCUUGUGGUGCAUACAAGUAUUACCUGUGCAUCGCCCUACUAUAACAAAUGUUCUAGAAAUGUUUAAGAGAAGCUCAGAUGAUCUGGACAUGCCACCAAAGCAUAAUUUCUGUGAAUUGCUGUAA